GAUUCUUAACCACUGCGCCACCAGGGAACUCUCACGCUUUUCUAUGUAUGGGAAGAUGCAUGAGUCUGGGCUCACUGAAAUCAUUCUUUUGAUACGCACCUCAGCUAUCUGAGGCCAGUAUCCUCAUAUCCUGAGUUUCCUCAGGGCUCACCGUGGGGAGUGGCUGCAAUCUGAUGGCUGCUAGAUGUCAGGUA